ACGCUGGCGGCGUGCCUAAUACAUGCAAGUCGAGCGGAGUUGUGAGGGAGCUUGCUCCGGAUCCACUUAGCGGCGGACGGGUGAGUAACACGUAGGCAACCUGCCCUUCAGACUGGGAUAACUACCGGAAACGGUAGCUAAUACCGGAUAAUUCCUUUCUUCGCCUGAAGGAAGGAUGAAAGACGGAGCAAUCUGUUACUGAGGGAUGGGCCUGCGGCGCAUUAGCUAGUUGGUGGGGUAACGGCUCACCAAGGCGACGAUGCGUAGCCGACCUGAGAGGGUGAACGGCCACACUGGGACUGAGACACGGCCCAGACUCCUACGGGAGGCAGCAGUAGGGAAUCUUCCGCAAUGGGCGAAAGCCUGACGGAGCAACGCCGCGUGAGUGAUGAAGGUUUUCGGAUCGUAAAGCUCUGUUGCCAGGGAAGAACGUUCUCUAGAGUAACUGCUAGAGAAGUGACGGUACCUGAGAAGAAAGCCCCGGCUAACUACGUGCCAGCAGCCGCGGUAAUACGUAGGGGGCAAGCGUUGUCCGGAAUUAUUGGGCGUAAAGCGCGCGCAGGCGGCGAUUUAAGUCUGGUGUUUAAACCAUGGGCUCAACCUGUGGUCGCAUCGGAAACUGGAUGGCUUGAGUGCAGAAGAGGAAAGUGGAAUUCCACGUGUAGCGGUGAAAUGCGUAGAGAUGUGGAGGAACACCAGUGGCGAAGGCGA
rnacentral:rRNA from 1 species